ensembl:lncRNA
GCAAAUACAACAAAUCUGCGUGGUGAAAUAUGCUAUUCAAGUCUCUGGGAUAUCAGUGAAGCAAUUAAGGAUCCUAAGUUCACUAAAGACACAUCCAGGAACCUGUAUUUUAAGCUUGAACCGAAUGACUUUUGCUCAAACGUUAGUACAACAUUUGAGCAAAAAACUUGUGAUAACCCCAAUUCCACCUUUAACAUAAUAACGUCCAUCCCAGUUGAACUUUUCAUGGAUGAGCAAAAAGUUGAUUUGACACACCCACAAGUUCUUCCUGCAAUAUUAAAGUGGACUAAUAAGCCAGUAAAUUGUUCGAGCAAACUCACCUUUAAUUACACCUGUCGGGGGGACAACCAAAAUGAAUUUUUUUCUGCGAUGGUAACUGACAACGAUACUGUUUUGCCUGAGAUGGAACCCUUUACAGCAUACAAUUGUACCAGCCGUAUUCAUGGCAGCAAUAAAAGCUUUGAAAAGACCACACAUUUAAAAAUUGCCUGUG